CAGCAGCCGCGGUAACACGAAGGGGGCUAGCGUUGUUCGGAAUCACUGGGCGUAAAGCGCACGUAGGCGGCUAUUCAAGUCAGGGGUGAAAGCCCGGGGCUCAACCCCGGAACUGCCUUUGAAACUAGAUAGCUUGAAUCUUGGAGAGGCGAGUGGAAUUCCGAGUGUAGAGGUGAAAUUCGUAGAUAUUCGGAAGAACACCAGUGGCGAAGGCGACUCGCUGGACAAGUAUUGACGCUGAGGUGCGAAAGCGUGGGGAGCAAACAGGAUUAGAUACCCCUGUAGUCCCUGUCUCUUAUAC
rnacentral:rRNA from 1 species